UACGUAGGGUGCGAGCGUUGUCCGGAAUUACUGGGCGUAAAGAGCUCGUAGGUGGUUUGUCGCGUUGUUCGUGAAAACUCACAGCUUAACUGUGGGCGUGCGGGCGAUACGGGCAGACUGGAGUACUGCAGGGGAGACUGGAAUUCCUGGUGUAGCGGUGGAAUGCGCAGAUAUCUGGAGGAACACCGGUGGCGAAGGCGGCAUCCUGGACCAAUUCUGACACUGAGGAGCGAAAGCCAGGGGAGCAAACGGG
rnacentral:rRNA from 1 species